AACGAACGCUGGCGGCAUGCCUAACACAUGCAAGUCGAACGAGACCUUCGGGUCUAGUGGCGCACGGGUGCGUAACGCGUGGGAACCUGCCCCUAGGUUCGGAAUAACUCCCCGAAAGGGGUGCUAAUACCGGAUAAUGUCUUCGGACCAAAGAUUUAUCGCCUUUGGAUGGGCCCGCGUUGGAUUAGCUAGUUGGUAGGGUAAAAGCCUACCAAGGCGACGAUCCAUAGCUGGUCUGAGAGGAUGAUCAGCCACACUGGGACUGAGACACGGCCCAGAAUCCUACGGGAGGCAGCAGUGGGGAAUAUUGGAAAAUGGGGGAAAGCCUGAUCCAGCAAUGCCGCGUGAGUGAUGAAGGCCUUAGGGUUGUAAAGCUCUUUUACCCGGGAUGAUAAUGACAGUACCGGGAGAAUAAGCUCCGGCUAACUCCGUG
rnacentral:rRNA from 1 species